UACGGAGGGUGCAAGCGUUAUUCGGAUUUACUGGGUUUAAAGGGUGCGUAGGCGGGUAAGUAAGUCCGGUGUGAAAUCUCUGAGCUUAACUCAGAAACUGCCGUUGAUACUAUUUGCCUUGAAUAUUGUGGAGGUGAGCGGAAUAUGUCAUGUAGCGGUGAAAUGCUUAGAUAUGACAUAGAACACCAAUUGCGAAGGCAGCUCACUACGCAAUCAUUGACGCUGAGGCACGAAAGCGUGGGGAGCAAACAGG
rnacentral:rRNA from 1 species